UACGGAGGAUCCGAGCGUUAUCCGGAUUUAUUGGGUUUAAAGGGUGCGCAGGCGGGAGAUUAAGUCGGCGGUGAAAUUUUGCAGCUCAACUGUAAAAGUGCCUUCGAUACUGGUUUCCUUGAGUGUGGAUGAAGUAGGCGGAAUUUGUGGUGUAGCGGUGAAAUGCUUAGAUAUCACGAGGAACUCCGAUUGCGCAGGCAGCUUACUAAACUACUACUGACGCUCAGGCACGAAGGCGUGGGGAUCAAACAGGAUUAGAUACCCCGUACGU
rnacentral:rRNA from 1 species